AAUAAAAUAAAAUUAUUAUAUAAAAUCUAUAUAUACUGAUAAUAUCUGCUUUUUUUUAUUAUUAUUGUAGCAUAAUCUCCACCAAGAAGCUAAAAAAACAAAUUUGCUUAGGUCUACCUCAAGAAACUAUCUCCACUUAAUCUCUUCAACUUUGUCUCUAAGCAAGAUAAUUAAGAAAAAUUUAUGCAUAUACUUGAACCCAUCAAAAUCACCAAAAUGGGUAAGAAGAUUUUCCGGGAAAACUGCCGAACAUCUUCCCUGCUAGAAAAUUACCUUACGCCGGCGAGUCCCAUAGUAAUAAGAUAAAAAGGAGUGAUAC
rnacentral:misc_RNA from 1 species